rnacentral:rRNA from 1 species
GAUGAACGCUGGCGGCGUGCCUAAUACAUGCAAGUCGAGCGAAUGGAUUAGGAGCUUGCUCUUAUGAAGUUAGCGGCGGACGGGUGAGUAACACGUGGGUAACCUGCCCAUAAGACUGGGAUAACUCCGGGAAACCGGGGCUAAUACCGGAUAACAUUUUGAACCGCAUGGUUCGAAAUUGAAAGGCGGCUUCGGCUGUCACUUAUGGAUGGACCCGCGUCGCAUUAGCUAGUUGGUGAGGUAACGGCUCACCAAGGCAACGAUGCGUAGCCGAACUGGGAGGGUGAUCGGCCACACUGGGACUCAGACACGGCCCAGACUCCUACGGGAGGCAGCAGUAGGGAAUCUUCCGCAAUGGACGAAAGUCUGACGGAGCAACGCCGCGUGAGUGAUGAAGGCUUUCGGGUCGUAAAACUCUGUUGUUAGGGAAGAACAAGUGCUAGUUGAAUAAGCUGGCACCUUGACGGUACCUAACCAGAAAGCCACGGCUAACUACGUGCCAGCAGCCGCAGUAA